rnacentral:rRNA from 1 species
GAUGAACGCUGGCGGCGUGCCUAAUACAUGCAAGUCGAGCGAACAGACGAGGAGCUUGCUCCUCUGACGUUAGCGGCGGACGGGUGAGUGACACGUGGAUAACCUACCUAUAAGACUGGGAUAACUUCGGGAAACCGGAGCUAAUACCGGAUAAUAUAUUGAACCGCAUGGUUCAAUAGUGAAAGACGGUUUUGCUGUCACUUAUAGAUGGAUCCGCGCCGCAUUAGCUAGUUGGUAAGGUAACGGCUUACCAAGGCAACGAUGCGUAGCCGACCUGAGAGGGUGAUCGGCCACACUGGAACUGAGACACGGUCCAGACUCCUACGGGAGGCAGCAGUAGGGAAUCUUCCGCAAUGGGCGAAAGCCUGACGGAGCAACGCCGCGUGAGUGAUGAAGGUCCUCGGAUCGUAAAACUCUGUUAUUAGGGAAGAACAAAUGUGUAAGUAACUAUGCACGUCUUGACGGUACCUAAUCAGAAAGCCACGGCUAACUACGUG